rnacentral:misc_RNA from 1 species
GAAGUUUGUCAGUUCUGGCGGAAGGCGCUUGAGAUCUAUGAAAGACUCGGCAUUCCGUUCGCCGAGACCGUUCGCGCGGCGAUGCGCCAGCUUAACUGUUGAUUCAUCCGCCCGGCCCACUCCGGUGGGUCCAUGAGGAUGAUGUACGUGUUACGGCAGACCUGCGGUCGGGGCAAGGUGGAUGUGCGUAGCAGAGUGAGCACUUCGUUGAGUAGUUGGUGGGCUUGGUGGCAGGCGC